AUGGAAAAAAGGCACACUUAUCUAAAGAUAAGGCCGCAAAGCUAUGGGUCUAAGGGAUUAUUCCUAUGAUCGCCAAGUUACCAAA
rnacentral:ncRNA from 1 species